rnacentral:snRNA from 1 species
ACAUUUACCUAGCAUGGGAGACACCAUGAUCAGGAAGGUGGUUUUUCCCAGGCAAGGCUCACUUACUCAUUUACAGCACUCCACGCGUGCUGACCCCUGUGAUUUCCCCAAAAGCAGGAAAUUCAAUUGCAUAACUAGUGGGAGAUGAGGGGGAAAUUUUUUUUUUUGGU